UGAGCCCCUCCGGUCGUCAAGCCUUGCUUGAAAUGCGUAAAUGCGGAAAGGUGAAGUGGCUGACCCGGCUCACACCACUUUAAGUAGCGGAGUGGGGUUCCUAGCCAGGCCUAUGGGACUCCCACUGGAGCCUUUCCCCCUCUGGGGCUGGGGCUGGACCCACAGGCUGCCGGAGCAGGCAGAAGGGGAGGGGCCCAAGGCCCAGACUCCAGGGCCUCGUCUGGAUCAUCAACCCGGCUUUGCCCAUUCAGCGCAGGCCUCCGUUUCCAGGCCUGUCUCCCCAUCCACACCGUCUCUCAGGGGUCGUGCAACCAACAGCACCCUCCACCUGCAGAAAUCGUCACCUGGCAAAACGGAAACUCUACCCACUAUGCACUAACUCCUCUUUCCCUCUCCUCCGGGCCCUGGCAACCGCCAUUCUACCUUUCGUCUCUGUGGUCUUGACUAUUCUAUGUACUGCAAAUAAAUAGAGUCACACAGCGUUUA
ensembl:lncRNA LINC00677 long intergenic non-protein coding RNA 677